UCAACUCCACCAAACUGCAACCGAAGAAAACAACCCCAGCCCCACGUCAAACCUUAUCCAUCCCCCACCAAACCAGCCCACACCAAGCCCCACCCACCUUCUCCGGUCGAACCCACCCUUGUCUUCUCCCUCCUACCCCCAAAUCCCCGCCUCCCCGCCACCUUCCUCUCCACGCGCGGCCACCGCAAGCCGCCCCGCCACCUUCAUCUCCGCGCGUGGCCGCCGCAAGCCACCCCGCCACCUUCCUCUCCGCGGCCGGCCGCUGCCCCGCCACCAUCCUCUCCACGCGCGGCCGUGGCAAGCCAGCACCCCACCACCUUCCUCUCGGCGCCCCGCCCCUCUUCACGUCACCGGGCGACCUCCCAGCCACGACACCCCCUCCCCAGCCGCCAUCGCCACACGCUUCCCUGCGCCGCUCGGCCACCCACCACUCAUUCCCGACCCUUGACUGAGAUCCGACAAUCGAUGCCACCCCCUCCUUAUCUUCCUUCAGGACGGCCUGGAUCCGGCCUUGCCUCCUCCACACGAGCCGCCACCUCCCUCCACCACCUUCUUCCUAGCCCCCUCCCCUUCCUCCUCAUCAGGCAACCCGAUGUUCACCGGAUCCGCGUGAUGGCUGCCGCCCGGGAGCCGCGAUGUCCCGGAUCCGACUCGCCUCCUCCAUGGCCUCCGACAUCGCCAUGUGGUGCGCCAACGGCCAUCCACGCCCCGCGCAGCUCGUUGCUGCCCGAAAUGCAGUUUGGCGGCCGUGGCAGUGCAGCUCGGAGGCACGAGUGAUGCGGUUCAGUGCCGGUCGUCAUGAGGACGGGAUCCUCAGGUGAGCACCGCCACCAGCAGGGGCUUUGCCUGAACCAUCCUCUUCUGCUACGAAGCGAAGCACCACCGUCCUCUGAAAAAAUUGGUUGCAUCGGGGGGGGGGGGGGGGGGGGGGGUGUGGUGGUGUCUGCAGUGAGGGAACGGCCGACGGAGGAGCGACGAGCAACUCACCGAUGGGUGUCAUCGCCCCUCCGAUCCAUAUCCCUUUCCCCACCUCCUGCAGAGUCGGCAGAUCUAGGAGGCGAGGCCUUGUCCCGCGCCGCCCUGGAGUUCAACCGCCAUGGAUCUGUGUUGCCAGAAGGUUUUGGCCGGCAGUUUGCUACAGUUUGUCACUCCAGCGGGGAACUCACAUGCAGUACACUCCGGCGACGUUGGGAUUGCAUCCAGGAUUUGCAAAAAAAAUAACGUGGUUCGGGGGGGGGGGGGGGUCAUGCAGCUCACCAGCCUCAGCCUCGCAGUUCGUUUGGCAUGGGCAGGGUCACUGGAAAAAAGAACAUGAAGUUCAUCUUGUUCAUGUAGUCUGGAUGCGUUUGUAACAAAUUAGAAACAGAAGAAAAUGAACAUUGCAGUUCUCUCGA